rnacentral:rRNA from 1 species
AGUGGCAGACGGGUGAGUAACAUGUGGGAAUCUGCCUUGUGGUUCAGGACAACAUUGGGAAACCGAUGCUAAUACUGGAUAAGCCCUUACGGGGAAAGUUUUAAUGCCAUAAGAUGAGCCCGCAUUUGAUUAGUUAGUUGGUGGGGUGAUGGCUCACCAAGACAAUGAUCAAUAGCUGAUCUGAGAGGAUGAUCAGCCACACUGGGGCUGAGACACGGCCCAGACUCCUACGGGAGGCAGCAGUGGGGAAUCUUGCACAAUGGAGGAAACUCUGAUGCAGCGAUGCCGCGUGAGUGAAGAAGGCCUUUGGGUUGUAAAGCUCUUUUGUAGGGGAAGAUAAUGACUGUACCCUAAGAAUAAGGUCCGGCUAACUUCGUGCCAGCAGCCGCGGUAAUACGAAGGGACCUAGCGUAGUUCGGAAUUACUGGGCGUAAAGCGCGCGUAGGCCGUUGAGUUAGUUAAUUGUGAAAUCCCAAAGCUUAACUUUGGAACUGCAAUUAAAACUGCUCGACUAGAGUUUGAUAGAGGAAAGCGGAAUACAUAGUGUAGAGGUGAAAUUCGUAGAUAUUAUGUAGAACACCAGUUGCGAAGGCGGCUUUCUGGAUCAACACUGACGCUGAGGCGCGAAAGUAUGGGUAGCAAAGAGGAUUAGAUACCCUCGUAGUCCAUACCAUAAACGAUGAUUGCUAGAUGUUGGAAAUUUAUUUUCAGUAUCGCAGCUAACGCAUUAAGCAAUCCGCCUGGGGAGUACGACCGCAAGGUUAAAACUCAAAUGAAUUGACGGGGACCCGCACAAGCGGUGGAGCAUGUGG